rnacentral:rRNA from 1 species
UGGGGAAUUUUGGACAAUGGGCGAAAGCCUGAUCCAGCAAUGCCGCGUGUGUGAAGAAGGCCUUCGGGUUGUAAAGCACUUUUGUCCGGAAAGAAAUCCUUGGCUCUAAUACAGUCGGGGGAUGACGUACCGGAAGAAUAAGCACCGGCUAACUACGUGCCAGCAGCCGCGGUAAUACGUAGGGUGCAAGCGUUAAUCGGAAUUACUGGGCGUAAAGCGUGCGCAGGCGGUUUGCUAAGACCGAUGUGAAAUCCCCGGGCUCAACCUGGGAACUGCAUUGGUGACUGGCAGGCUAGAGUAUGGCAGAGGGGGGUAGAAUUCCACGUNUAGCAGUGAAAUGCGUAGAGAUGUGGAGGAAUACCGAUGGCGAAGGCAGCCCCCUGGGCCAAUACUGACGCUCAUGCACGAAAGCGUGGGGAGCAAACAGGAUUAGAUACCCUGGUAGUCCACGCCCUAAACGAUGUCAACUAGUUGUUGGGGAUUCAUUUCCUUAGUAACGUAGCUAACGCGUGAAGUUGACCGCCUGGGGAGUACGGUCGCAAGAUUAAAACUCAAAUGAAUUGACGGGGUCAUAGCUG